rnacentral:rRNA from 1 species
AGAGUUUGAUCCUGGCUCAGAAUCAACGCUGGCGGCGUGCCUCAGACAUGCAAGUCGAACGCGAAAGUUCCCUUCGGGGGGCGAGUAGAGUGGCGCACGGGUGAGUAACACGUAGGUAAUCUACCUUUGGAUUGGGAAUAACCACCGGAAACGGUGGCUAAUACCGAAUAAUGCAGCGGCACCUAAUGGUGACAGUUGUUAAAGCGGGGGAUCGAAAGACCUCGCGUCUGAAGAGGAGCCUGCGGCAGAUUAGCUAGUUGGUAAGGUAACGGCUUACCAAGGCGAUGAUCUGUAGCCGGCCUGAGAGGGCGGUCGGCCACACUGACACUGACAUACGGGUCAGACUCCUACGGGAGGCAGCAGUCGGGAAUUUUGGGCAAUGGGCGAAAGCCUGACCCAGCAACGCCGCGUGAAGGAUGAAAUCCUUCGGGAUGUAAACUUCGCAAGAACGGGAAGAAUAAGUAAGGGUUAAUAUCUCUUACGAUGACGGUACUGUUUGUAAGCUCCGGCUAACUCCGUGCCAGCAGCCGCGGUAAUACGGGGGGAGCAAGCGUUGUUCGGAUUUACUGGGCGUAAAGGGCGCGUAGGCGGCCACCGCAAGUCGACUGUGAAAUCUCCGGGCUUAACCCGGAAAGGUCAGCCGAUACUGCGGGGCUAGAGUGCAGAAGGGGCAACUGGAAUUCUCGGUGUAGCGGUGAAAUGCGUAGA